rnacentral:tRNA from 1 species
GCCGAAGUGGCGGAACUGGUAGACGCGCACGACUCAAACUCGUGUUCCUUCGGGAGUGUGGGUUCGAUUCCCACCUUCGGCA